GGCACCAUGUUGAAAGACCAGUCAGUCUGGUGGAAGUCCUCCAAUCGUCCACAUGGCUGGCUGCGUUUUGCUGUCACCGGAAACUUUGGGAAGAUUGCCCAUUAUUUAAUUUUUUCUAAGGAACCAGAAAACUGAGGCAAAGGGAGAACCUAUUCAAAUACAGAGAGCUGUGAAACCCUGUCUGCAGCUGAAGCUGUCCCAAUGAAUGUCCCAAGAGAAUAAGGGUUCACCAGCUGACCUCUAUCAAGACACCCAGGUCGACUGGAUUCCCACUGUGAAGAUGAGCAGUGCUGCAGCAGCAUCAGUUUCUACUUCUACUUUGUCAUUUUCCAGAUAUGAAAGGAGACAUCCCUCAGUUAGACAAAAUGGUUGUCAUAUGCUGUGCUUUGGUCAAUCUGAAUGAUUAUUUUGUGCCAUUUGAGAAGAGAGCACCUUUAAGUGCCCCCUUAAACCGUAUGAAUAUAUACAAAAUUGAUUUGGAACAACAUGUAAAAGACUUGUUUAUGAUAUUGUAAAUAUAGUGUACUUUUAUAAUAGGCUAUUGUUGUAUGGGUGAAACAAAAAAUAUUUUGUGUGUCAUCUCUGCUUUGCCUUUCCCCAUUGAAUAAAAG